UACGUAGGUGGCAAGCGUUGUUCGGAAUUAUUGGGCGUAAAGCGCGCGCAGGCGGUUCUUUAAGUCUGAUGUGAAAGCCCACGGCUCAACCGUGGAGGGUCAUUGGAAACUGGGGGGCUUGAGUACAGAAGAGGAAAGCGGAAUUCCACGUGUAGCGGUGAAAUGCGUAGAGAUGUGGAGGAACACCAGUGGCGAAGGCGGCUUUCUGGUCUGUAACUGACGCUGAGGCGCGAAAGCGUGGGGAGCAAACAGG
rnacentral:rRNA from 1 species